GACGAACGCUGGCGGCGUGCCUAAUACAUGCAAGUCGAACGCUUUUUCUUUCACCGGAGCUUGCUCCACCGAAAGAAAAAGAGUGGCGAACGGGUGAGUAACACGUGGGUAACCUGCCCAUCAGAAGGGGAUAACACUUGGAAACAGGUGCUAAUACCGUAUAACACUAUUUUCCGCAUGGAAGAAAGUUGAAAGGCGCUUUUGCGUCACUGAUGGAUGGACCCGCGGUGCAUUAGCUAGUUGGUGAGGUAACGGCUCACCAAGGCAACGAUGCAUAGCCGACCUGAGAGGGUGAUCGGCCACACUGGGACUGAGACACGGCCCAGACUCCUACGGGAGGCAGCAGUAGGGAAUCUUCGGCAAUGGACGAAAGUCUGACCGAGCAACGCCGCGUGAGUGAAGAAGGUUUUCGGAUCGUAAAACUCUGUUGUUAGAGAAGAACAAGGAUGAGAGUAAAAUGUUCAUCCCUUGACGGUAUCUAACUAGAAAGCCACGGCUAACUACGUGCCAGCAGCCGCGGUAA
rnacentral:rRNA from 1 species